rnacentral:rRNA from 1 species
AGAGUUUGAUCCUGGCUCAGAUUGAACGCUGGCGGCAUGCUUUACACAUGCAAGUCGAACGGCAGCGGGGUAGUGCUUGCACUACUGCCGGCGAGUGGCGAACGGGUGAGUAAUAUAUCGGAACGUACCGAGUAAUGGGGGAUAACUAAUCGAAAGAUUAGCUAAUACCGCAUAUUUUCUGAGGAAGAAAGCAGGGGACCAUUUGGCCUUGCGCUGUUUGAGCGGCCGAUAUCUGAUUAGCUAGUUGGUGGGGUAAAGGCCUACCAAGGCGACGAUCAGUAGCGGGUCUGAGAGGAUGAUCCGCCACACUGGGACUGAGACACGGCCCAGACUCCUACGGGAGGCAGCAGUGGGGAAUUUUGGACAAUGGGCGCAAGCCUGAUCCAGCCAUGCCGCGUGUCUGAAGAAGGCCUUCGGGUUGUAAAGGACUUUUGUCAGGGAAGAAAAGGAUAGGGUUAAUACCUCUGUCUGAUGACGGUACCUGAAGAAUAAGCACCGGCUAACUACGUGCCAGCAGCCGCGGUAAUACGUAGGGUGCGAGCGUUAAUCGGAAUUACUGGGCGUAAAGCGGGCGCAGACGGUUACUUAAGCAGGAUGUGAAAUCCCCGGGCUCAACCUGGGAACUGCGUUCUGAACUGGGUGACUAGAGUGUGUCAGAGGGAGGUAGAAUUCCACGUGUAGCAGUGAAAUGCGUAGAGAUGUGGAGGAAUACCGAUGGCGAAGGCAGCCUCCUGGGAUAACACUGACGUUCAUGCCCGAAAGCGUGGGUAGCAAACAGGAUUAGAUACCCUGGUAGUCCACGCCCUAAACGAUGUCGAUUAGCUGUUGGGCAGCAUGACUGCUUAGUAGCGAAGCUAACGCGUGAAAUCGACCGCCUGGGGAGUACGGUCGCAAGAUUAAAACUCAAAGGAAUUGACGGGGACCCGCACAAGCGGUGGAGCAUGUGGUUUAAUU